AUGCAGGCCGCCGUUGCUUUGUCGGCCGUGCUGCCUGUCACGUUAACGGGCAGGCCGGCGGCGAGGAGAAGGAGCGCCGCCGUGGCCGCCGGCGGCAGAAGGCUUGUGGGUGCCGGCGUCCGUGCAUCGGCUGCGGCGGCGCCGGAGGCGGACUACAGCUCCAGCGUCUCGGUGUUCCCCAUGGAGGCCUGCGACCUGGUCGGCGGCGAGGCCUGCGACGCGCAGAUGUACCCGGAGACGAAGCUCGACGCUGGCGCCGGCGGCCCAGCUGCCGCGGCGAGGGCGCCGGAGGUGGAGAGGGAGUACCUAGCCUACGACGAGCCAAAAACGGUGUUCCCGGACGAGGCGUGCGACGAUCUUGGCGGCGAGUUCUGCGAGGCGCCCUACCAAACCACCAAGUAG
rnacentral:rRNA from 1 species